GUUCACUUAAUUAUUAAAUUGUGCGUGAAUGCCGUGAACCAUGUUUAAAUAUGGUGCACGUUUCGCGGUCAAUACCAUUAUUGACUUUUAUAAUCGACUUAUUACCUUUAACAAACAAAUAAUUUAAAUACAACAAAGUAUGCAUUCGACAUUAAUAUAUCAUUAAUAUACUGGCAUAAACAGAUAUCAAUAAAAACUAUCCACAAGAAAUGAAAAUUACACAUUCUCGAAAUAUAACCUAAAAAGUUAGAUUGAUUACAGACUAGUUGGUAUGCUUCAGAUUCGUGAAUAUCUAUAUUAGUACCAUUUAAUAAUAUAGAUAAUACUGUUAAAAAGAACAUCAUGUUUUACCAUAUAUCGCUGGAACAUGAAAUUUUAUUACAUCCUAGGUAUUUUGGUCCUCAAUUGUUAGAUACUGUGAAGCAAAAACUAUACACAGAAGUAGAGGGUACUUGCACAGGAAAAUAUGGUUUUGUAGUUGCUGUAACAACAAUAGAUAAUAUAGGUGCAGGAAUCAUACAACCUGGACAAGGAUUUGUAGUAUAUCCAGUUAAAUAUAAAGCUAUUGUUUUUAGACCAUUUAAAGGAGAAGUAUUGGAUGCUAUUGUGACUCAAGUCAAUAAGGUUGGAAUGUUCGCUGAGAUAGGUCCUCUAUCAUGCUUCAUAUCUCAUCAUUCAAUACCAGCAGAUAUGCAAUUUUGUCCAAAUGUAAAUCCUCCAUGUUAUAAGUCCAAGGAAGAGGAUGUUAUUAUUCAACCAGAUGAUGAAAUCAGAUUGAAAAUUGUUGGUACAAGAGUUGAUGCCACUGGUAUUUUUGCUAUUGGGACAUUGAUGGAUGAUUAUUUAGGUCUUGUAUGCACCUAAGUGAGAUAAACAACUUUGUCAUAUUAAAAUAAAAGUUUUACAGUAUUUUUUACAAAGUAACUGUGUGCAUAUUUUUGAAAGGAACAUUGGAAUGAUCUUGCUAAUGUAUUACAAGCGACUAGAAUUACAAACAUAAAAUUUAAGUUUUCACAUAGCUCUAGUAACAUAAACACAAUGCAGUAUACUUUCACUUUAGUACAUAAUUUAUUCGUUUAUUGUCAUUACACGAAACGUUUAUGUGUUCUUCUACGUGGGGAGUUUUACAAACAGAAUUAAAAAAAUAUGUUAAAAUUAAAUUAUGUGCUGUGACACAUGGUACGAUUUGCAUUUUCUUUAUAUUUAUUUUAUUUCUGAACAAAGAUUACUUGCAUAAGUAUCCAAAUCUAAUAAUGGUACAAAUAAGGCUAAUUUUGCUGCUAUAGGAGUUUUUUCAUAUUUACUCUGAUCAGGCAUCAUCUUAUCAACAACGUGUUUAAAUACUUUACCGUCAUUAUUGACGUAAAAUGUAGAAAAACCGUCGUACCACCUAUUGACAAGAUUUCAUAGUUUAAUUGAUAUAAGAAAUUCGUUUAUCAAACAAGAAACUGAUAAAAUUUACUUACACGUGUUUAUCAUCAUCAUUAUCUUUCGUGGAUCGAUAUUUCCAAAAUAGAAAUAUGUAUGAAUCAGGAAUACCAAUUAUACGCCAACGGACUUUAAUACUACUGUCUUCCGGGUGCAUAGUUAUUUUUAAAAUAUUUAACUUAACAUAAACGAAUUUUAUACGAGCUAUUAUUCUUAACAAUGCUAUUUGCAUCACAUAAUGAUUAAUUCCUCUAAAAAUAAAAUACCAAGAACCUGUAUUAUUCAUUUAUACAAUAUAUUUUGGAUCAGGAAUAUUUCAAAUUGUAUAGCUACUAUUGUUUACUUACACGCCUUCUGUUCCUCUAAUAUUGUUUAUAAAUACCACAUCAGUUGUAUAUAUUGUAUAGUCCAUUAUCUUAACAAAUAGCUGUGGUAACUAGAAAAAGAAAAAGCUUUAUGCAAGAUAAAUCAACUUAUAUACAGUGCAAAUACAUACAUCUCUACUAAGGCAGUCAAAUAUAUGUUGCAACUGUGCUUCAGAUGGUAUCCGAUUCUCUGAUGGCUGCUCUUUACUCAUAUUUUGCACAUUAGGAGAUCCAUCUGUAUGAAGAAUACUUUUCUUUAUAGAAUUAGGUGAAUUAAUUAGGUACCUAUUAAUUGAUAGCACCUCACUAUGAGGUAAACAUGACUUAUUAUUUGCAUAAAGCCCAUUAUGAUCUACAUGUAGUUUUAAUUGUUGAUCAUCAUUGCUUAAUACAAUCUUAUUUUCAGAAGUAAUAUUAUUUAUGUUCAUUGACUGAGUGUCUGUUUGUCUUUGACGUUGCAUCCAUAUCGAUCGUUGUUGAUUCCAAUUACAUUUUUCAUUUAGUUCAUCCGGCCAGUUAGUACAAAUAUCAAAGUAAUUAAUUAAUGAAUAUUGGCCCAUCAAAGAAGUCUUCGAAUUUAGAUAUUUAUCUCCAUAAUUCAUUACCACACAUGUUGCCACUGAUGAGUUU